AGAGUCACUCCUACGGGAGGCAGCAGUGGGGAAUUUUGGACAAUGGGGGCAACCCUGAUCCAGCAAUGCCGCGUGUGUGAAGAAGGCCUUCGGGUUGUAAAGCACUUUUGUCCGGAAAGAAAACCGCUUCUCUAAUACAGAGGUGGGAUGACGGUACCGGAAGAAUAAGCACCGGCUAACUACGUGCCAGCAGCCGCGGUAAUACGUAGGGUGCAAGCGUUAAUCGGAAUUACUGGGCGUAAAGCGUGCGCAGGCGGUUCGCUAAGACCGAUGUGAAAUCCCCGGGCUUAACCUGGGAACUGCAUUGGUGACUGGCGGGCUAGAGUAUGGCAGAGGGGGGUAGAAUUCCACGUGUAGCAGUGAAAUGCGUAGAGAUGUGGAGGAAUACCGAUGGCGAAGGCAGCCCCCUGGGCCAAUACUGACGCUCAUGCACGAAAGCGUGGGGAGCAAACAGGAUUAGAUACCCUGGUAGUCCACGCCCUAAACGAUGUCAACUAGUUGUCGGGUCUUCAUUGACUUGGUAACGAAGCUAACGCGUGAAGUUGACCGCCUGGGGAGUACGGUCGCAAGAUUAAAACUUAAAGGAAUUGACG
rnacentral:rRNA from 1 species